GGCCUGUUAGCUCAGUCGGUUAGAGGGUGGUGCUGCUAACACCAAGGUCGUGGGUUCAAUCCCGCUCAGUCCC
rnacentral:tRNA from 1 species